UACGUAGGGUGCAAGCGUUAUCCGGAAUUAUUGGGCGUAAAGAGCUCGUAGGCGGCUUGGCAAGUCGGGUGUGAAACCUCCAGGCUCAACCUGGAGACGCCACUCGAUACUGCUAUGGCUAGAGUCCGGUAGGGGACCACGGAAUUCCUGGUGUAGCGGUGAAAUGCGCAGAUAUCAGGAGGAACACCGGUGGCGAAGGCGGUGGUCUGGGCCGGCACUGACGCUGAGGAGCGAAAGCGUGGGUAGCAAACAGG
rnacentral:rRNA from 1 species